GAUGAACGCUGGCGGUGUGCCUAAUACAUGCAAGUCGAGCGAACGGACGAGAAGCUUGCUCUUCUGCUGGUAGCGGCGGACGGGCGGGUAAGACGUGGAUCAGCUACUUAUAAGUCUGGGAUGACUACGGGAAGACGGUGCUACUACCGGAUAAUACUUUGUACGGCAUGGUUCAAAAGUGAAUGACGGUUUUGCUGUUACUUAUAGACGGAGCCGGAUUGUCUUGGUUGGUUGGUAAGGUAACGGCUAACCAAGGCACCGUAGCGUAGCCGAGCUGAGAGGAUGAUCGGCCACACUGGAACUGAGACACGGUCCAGACUCCUACGGGAGGCAGCAGUGGGGAAUCUUCGACAAUGGGCGCAAGCCUGACCCAGCAACACCGCGUGGGUGAAGAAGGCCUUCGGAUCGUAAAGCCCUUUUAUUAGGAAAGAAAAUAAGCAUAUUUAACCCUCCCUGUUCUGACGGUACCCAAACAAAAAGCCACGGCUAACUUCGUG
rnacentral:rRNA from 1 species